UGUGAUUUUUAUGAAAAUUUUUUUCAUCAAUCAUACUGUUAUGGUCAUAGACUUAAAGACUCAGCUUUAUAAAUUUCAUAGGACUACUUCCUUCUACUAGGAUCGAUAAAUCUCAUCUAGACGUACACCCUACUCCUAUAGUGGACCAAUUAUCGCCAAUAUCUACUACAAGGGCUCAUUGAGACCCAUGUUAUGUGUCAGUCAAGCAGCCUCACAGCGAGUAGCUUUAACACCACAGGUCAAAAGAUCAGUCAUACAACUGCAGCAUCAAGAAAGUCACUAACGAGUGAGCAGACAUCCAUGUGAGUUUUUGUGUUG
rnacentral:lncRNA from 1 species